rnacentral:sRNA from 1 species
UUUAGAUAACACUAACAAAGUUGACCUUAGAAUUGGAGUGCCCGGGUUAGAACCUUGCUGGUACCACCUGCUUACUGCAUGCUUCUGAUGUGAGUUCAGGAGAAGCCACUGGCAAGGACAGCAAAGAACAGGAGAACACUCUAGCUUCCCUGAUAGCAUUCAAGGUGCUGUCCAAAGCUCUUGAGUUUCUGCUUUCAAGUGACCCUCAGAAAUGCCCCCAUUCACUGCAGAGGUUCUGUUUCUCCUUGUUUUGUUCCGACUUUAUGGCAGAACUAGGUUAAUGAGUUAAUUACUAUGAGUUAUCACUUGGAUUUGAAGAACCAUCAUUUCUAGGCUUUGCUGCUCAGAGUGGGUUUGCCCUCAGGGGAAGCUAUCUAACCAGAGCCUAACCCACUAGGGUUUUAUCAGAACCUAACUGGCCUGAGGAAAAGAAAUAUUCAACUCCAGCAAGCUCCAGCCUUCCAAACGGAGGAGGAGAAAACCCAAAUCCAGCCCACUUCAGCUAUCUUGUCCCACAUAAAGGGGGAGUGGAAGAAACGUGAGAAGCAGGCAUGAAGUUCACAGUCCGGAGGCCUUGCCAUCGUAUCCCCUUUUGGAGACACAAGCCAGGAAGGAAGCUCUUCAGUGCAGCUGUGAAUAGAGAAACGCUGGCUGAGGUUUUGGGGACACUGGGUGAUCAUUCCCAGUGAAAUUUUUAGAUCCCUGGGGACAUGAGCUGCUUUGUCUUUUCCAAGGUCAGGAUAAACAGAAUAGCUUCAGGCUCCUCUACCCAGAAAGAACAUGUGGCAUAAACAUCAACUGCAGAAUAAAUAUGAUUAAGCUGGCACAUGGA